rnacentral:rRNA from 1 species
UAGCUUGCUCUCGGGUGACGAGCGGCGGACGGGUGAGUAAUGUCUGGGAAACUGCCUGAUGGAGGGGGAUAACUACUGGAAACGGUAGCUAAUACCGCAUAACGUCGCAAGACCAAAGUGGGGGACCUUCGGGCCUCAUGCCAUCAGAUGUGCCCAGAUGGGAUUAGCUAGUAGGUGGGGUAACGGCUCACCUAGGCGACGAUCCCUAGCUGGUCUGAGAGGAUGACCAGCCACACUGGAACUGAGACACGGUCCAGACUCCUACGGGAGGCAGCAGUGGGGAAUAUUGCACAAUGGGCGCAAGCCUGAUGCAGCCAUGCCGCGUGUGUGAAGAAGGCCUUCGGGUUGUAAAGCACUUUCAGCGGGGAGGAAGGCGGUGAGGUUAAUAACCUUGUCGAUUGACGUUACCCGCAGAAGAAGCACCGGCUAACUCCGUGCCAGCAGCCGCGGUAAUACGGAGGGUGCAAGCGUUAAUCGGAAUUACUGGGCGUAAAGCGCAC